GAUGAACGCUAGCGAUAGGCUUAACACAUGCAAGUCGAGCGGACCGAAGGGAGCUUGCUCCUUUAGGUUAGCGGCGGACGGGUGAGUAACACGUGGGCAACCUGCCCUGCAGACUGGGAUAACUUCGGGAAACCGGAGCUAAUACCGGAUAACACCGAAAACCGCAUGGUUUUCGGUUGAAAGGCGGCAUUAGCUGUCACUGCAGGAUGGGCCCGCGGCGCAUUAGCUAGUUGGUGAGGUAACGGCUCACCAAGGCGACGAUGCGUAGCCGACCUGAGAGGGUGACCGGCCACACUGGGACUGAGACACGGCCCAG
rnacentral:rRNA from 1 species